rnacentral:rRNA from 1 species
UACGUAGGUCCCGAGCGUUGUCCGGAUUUAUUGGGCGUAAAGCUAGCGCAGGUGGUUUAUUAAGUCUGGUGUAAAAGGCAGUGGCUCAACCAUUGUAUGCAUUGGAAACUGGUAGACUUGAGUGCAGGAGAGGAGAGUGGAAUUCCAUGUGUAGCGGUGAAAUGCGUAGAUAUAUGGAGGAACACCGGUGGCGAAAGCGGCUCUCUGGCCUGUAACUGACACUGAGGCUCGAAAGCGUGGGGAGCAAACAGG